rnacentral:rRNA from 1 species
GGUAGUCUACGCCGUAAACGAUGGAUACUGUCUGUCGGAGGUAUCGACCCCUUCGGUAGAGAAGCUAACGCGUUAAGUAUCCCGCCUGGGGAGUACGGCCGCAGGGCUAAAACUCAAAGGAAUUGACGGGGACCCGCACAAGCGGUGGAGCGUGUGGUUUAAUUCGAGGCUACGCGAAGAACCUUACCAAGGUUUGACAUCCUUGUCGUCGCUCUAAGAAAUUAGGGCUUCAUUUAGUUGGACAAGUGACAGGUGAUGCAUGGCCGUCGUCAGCUCGUGUCGUGAGAUGUCAGGUUAAG